UUGACGAGGUUAAAUUUAUUUUUAGAUUUUAAUAUUAAAAAUAUUGAUAAGUUUAGUAAAAGAAAUUAACCCUUACGUGGGUAGGGUAGUGUGUAGGAAUGACAAUUCAGCUCGCUAUUCACAAGCCAGCUCGUGUUCGGCUCGAAAAUAAACUCGAGAUCGAAUCACUUGUUUAAUAAAUGAGACGAACGCGAGCUAAAAAAUUCAAGUCGUUUAAUAAACGAGCCAAACAGAAGCUAGGGUUAGCUCUCUCGUGUUCAGCUCGAUAACAGCUUGAAUACGUUUAUUUUCUAUUUAUAUAAUUUAUAUAUUUUAUAUUUAUUAUAUAAAUAAAUAAUUAUAUAUAUAAAAUAUAGAUAUUUAUUAUUUAAGUUUUAGUCCAAUCUAAAUAUAAAGUCCAACUCAACUAUAAAAAUUUCUUCUAUGUGUAAAGUUUUAAAUUUUAGAUCAAAAUCUAAUGGAUAAGAUCUCAUAAAUUUAUUUCUUUUUUAUAUCCUUUCUAAUCUUUUAACUUGUUAUUCAUGAGUCAGCUCCGAACACGAGCUAAAUUUUUCAGCUCGAUAUUUAAUGUGCCGGCUCGAGAUCGGCUCGUUUAUGAAACAAGCCAAA
rnacentral:lncRNA from 1 species